rnacentral:rRNA from 1 species
UACGGUGAAUACGUUCCCGGACCUUGUACACACCGCCCGUCAAGCCAUGGAAGCUGGGUGUACCUAAAGUCGGUAACCGCAAGGAGCCGCCUAGGGUAAAACUAGUAACUGGGGCUAAGUCGUAACAAGGUACCC